CAGGCUUAACACAUGCAAGUCGAGGGUCAGCAUUUCAGUUUGCUUGCAAACUGGAGAUGGCGACCGGCGCACGGGUGAGUAACACGUAUCCAACCUGCCGAUAACUCGGGGAUAGCCUUUCGAAAGAAAGAUUAAUACCCGAUGGUAUAAUCAGACCGCAUGGUCUUGUUAUUAAAGAAUUUCGGUUAUCGAUGGGGAUGCGUUCCAUUAGGCAGUUGGUGAGGUAACGGCUCACCAAACCUUCGAUGGAUAGGGGUUCUGAGAGGAAGGUCCCCCACAUUGGAACUGAGACACGGUCCAAACUCCUACGGGAGGCAGCAGUGAGGAAUAUUGGUCAAUGGGCGCAGGCCUGAACCAGCCAAGUAGCGUGAAGGAUGACUGCCCUAUGGGUUGUAAACUUCUUUUAUAUGGGAAUAAAGUUUUCCACGUGUGGAAUUUUGUAUGUACCAUAUGAAUAAGGAUCGGCUAACUCCGUGCCAGCAGCCGCGGUAAUACGGAGGAUCCGAGCGUUAUCCGGAUUUAUUGGGUUUAAAGGGAGCGUAGGUGGACAGUUAAGUCAGUUGUGAAAGUUUGCGGCUCAACCGUAAAAUUGCAGUUGAUACUGGCUGUCUUGAGUACAGUAGAGGUGGGCGGAAUUCGUGGUGUAGCGGUGAAAUGCUUAGAUAUCACGAAGAACUCCGAUUGCGAAGGCAGCUCACUGGACUGCAACUGACACUGAUGCUCGAAAGUGUGGGUAUCAAACAGGAUUAGAUACCCUGGUAGUCCACACAGUAAACGAUGAAUACUCGCUGUUUGCGAUAUACAGUAAGCGGCCAAGCGAAAGCAUUAAGUAUUCCACCUGGGGAGUACGCCGGCAACGGUGAAACUCAAAGGAAUUGACGGGGGCCCGCACAAGCGGAGGAACAUGUGGUUUAAUUCGAUGAUACGCGAGGAACCUUACCCGGGCUUAAAUUGCAUUUGAAUAUAUUGGAAACAGUAUAGUCGUAAGACAAAUGUGAAGGUGCUGCAUGGUUGUCGUCAGCUCGUGCCGUGAGGUGUCGGCUUAAGUGCCAUAACGAGCGCAACCCUUAUCUUUAGUUACUAACAGGUCAUGCUGAGGACUCUAGAGAGACUGCCGUCGUAAGAUGUGAGGAAGGUGGGGAUGACGUCAAAUCAGCACGGCCCUUACGUCCGGGGCUACACACGUGUUACAAUGGGGGGUACAGAAGGCAGCUACCUGGUGACAGGAUGCUAAUCCCAAAAGCCUCUCUCAGUUCGGAUCGAAGUCUGCAACCCGACUUCGUGAAGCUGGAUUCGCUAGUAAUCGCGCAUCAGCCAUGGCGCGGUGAAUACGUUCCCGGGCCUUGUACACACCGCCCGUCAAGCCAUGAAAGCCGGGGGUACAUGAAGUACGUAACCGCAAGGAGCGUCCUAGGGUAAAAC
rnacentral:rRNA from 1 species